AGUGAACGCUGGCGGUAGGCCUAACACAUGCAAGUCGAACGGCAGCACAGUAAGAGCUUGCUCUUACGGGUGGCGAGUGGCGGACGGGUGAGGAAUACAUCGGAAUCUACUUUUUCGUGGGGGAUAACGUAGGGAAACUUACGCUAAUACCGCAUACGACCUACGGGUGAAAGCAGGGGAUCUUCGGACCUUGCGCGAUUGAAUGAGCCGAUGUCGGAUUAGCUAGUUGGCGGGGUAAAGGCCCACCAAGGCGACGAUCCGUAGCUGGUCUGAGAGGAUGAUCAGCCACACUGGAACUGAGACACGGUCCAGACUCCUACGGGAGGCAGCAGUGGGGAAUAUUGGACAAUGGGCGCAAGCCUGAUACAGCCAUACCGCGUGGGUGAAGAAGGCCUUCGGGUUGUAAAGCCCUUUUGUUGGGAAAGAAAGGCAGCAGGUUAAUACCCCGCUGUUCUGACGGUACCCAAAGAAUAAGCACCGGCUAACUUCGUG
rnacentral:rRNA from 1 species